rnacentral:rRNA from 1 species
AUUCCCCUAGUAACUGCGAGUGAAGCGGGAAAAGCUCAAAUUUAAAAUCUGGUGGCCUUUUGGCCAUCCGAGUUGUAAUUUAGAGAAGCGUCUUCCGCGCCGGACCGUGCACAAGUCUCCUGGAAUGGAGCGUCAUAGAGGGUGAGAAUCCCGUCUUUGGCACGGACGCACCNNNNNNNNNNNNNNNUUGGGUGUCGGGGCUUUUUGCCCACGAUACGUGCUUAGGAUGUUGGCGUAAUGGCUUUAAACGACCCGUCUUGAAACACGGACCAAGGAGUCUAACAUGCCCGCGAGUGUUCGGGUGGAAAACCCGUGCGCGUAAUGAAAGUGAAAGUUGGGACCUCUGUCGUGGAGGGCACCGACGCCCGGACCAGACCUUCUGUGACGGCUCUGCGGUAGAGCGUGUAUGUUAGGACCCGAAAGAUGGUGAACUAUGCCUGAAUAGGGUGAAGCCAGAGGAAACUCUGGUGGAGGCUCGUAGCGAUUCUGACGUGCAAAUCGAUCGUCAAAUUUGGGUAUAGGGGCGAAAGAC